CUCUACGGCCAUACCACCCUGAACGCGCCUGAUCUCGUCUGAUCUCAGAAGCUAAGCAGGGUUGAGCCUUGUUACUACUUGGAUGGGAGACCGCCUGGGAAUAUCGGGUGCUGUAGGCU
ensembl:rRNA 5S_rRNA 5S ribosomal RNA